UCUCUCCUUUCAAAACCAUUUUUCUCGCAUUUUCUUCUUCUUAUUUCCUUGAGAUUCUUUCUGUGACUUCCUCUUCCAUUUUUUCUUCUCUUUUGAUUUUCUUUAUACAUGGGUGUUGCUUGGUUCAUAAACCCUAAACCAAGUUCUGCAAAAACAAAAGCAAACGUUAAACCUAGUUUUAUCAAAUUGUACCUUGUCGAUUCAUGACUAGUGUUACAAUUUUUGGAAGAUGGUUGUGGUGGACAUUAGACAAUCUUCACCGGCAACAAGAAGACAUGAGUGGUCGACUUCUGGGGACGGUAGAAUAAAGGUGAUUUGCAACUAUAAUGUUGAAGGAAGGGCUUCUUGUAACUGAUCCUAGGCUAUUACUUUUCAAACAUUUGGAGAUUUUAGCUGAAAACCAUUGCAGAUAAAGGAUUGCAAACUUUUGUAAAGUUUAAACCGUUGUUCUGCAAGACUUCUAUGAAGUGUUGGUGAAUUGUUUGUAUGGUUGAAACUAUUAAUAUAGAAUUCACAGUUUUUUGUUGGAAUUUUUUUGUAAAUAUUGUAACAUCAACAAUGAAUACAAGAUUUUGUAAAUUA